GACAGAGGAUGCAAGCGUUAUCCGGAAUGAUUGGGCGUAAAGCGUCUGUAGGUGGCUUUUUAAGUCCGCCGUCAAAUCCCAGGGCUCAACCCUGGACAGGCGGUGGAAACUACCAAGCUGGAGUACGGUAGGGGCAGAGGGAAUUUCCGGUGGAGCGGUGAAAUGCGUAGAGAUCGGAAGGAACGCCCGUGGCGAAAGCGAGGUCCUGGACGUCUACUGACGCUGAGACGCGAAAGCUAGGGGAGCAAACGGG
rnacentral:rRNA from 1 species